rnacentral:pre_miRNA from 1 species
AAAUUUUUGUGAUGAACCUAUGUUCUUCCAGGACAGAACAGGACAGCCUUUGCUAUUUUGUACUGGAAGAACAUGCAAAACUUAAAAAAAAAAAAAAGUUAUUGCU